GAGUUUGAUCGUGGCUCAGAAUCAACGCUGGCGGCGUGCCUAACACAUGCAAGUCGAACGAGAAAGUGGAGCAAUCCACGAGUAAAGUGGCGCACGGGUGAGUAACACGUGACUAACCUACCCUUGAGUGGGGGAUGACCUAGAGAAAUCUGGGCUAAUACCGCAUAAUACCUUCGGGUCAAAGGAGCAAUUCGCUUAAGGAGGGGGUCGCGGCCGAUUAGUUAGUUGGCGGGGUAAUGGCCCACCAAGACUAUGAUCGGUAUCCGGCCUGAGAGGGCGCACGGACACACUGGAACUGAAACACGGUCCAGACUCCUACGGGAGGCAGCAGUGGGGAAUUUUGCGCAAUGGGGGAAACCCUGACGCAGCAACGCCGCGUGGAGGAUGAAGUCCCUUGGGACGUAAACUCCUUUCGAUCGGGACGAUAAUGACGGUACCGAGAGAAGAAGCCCCGGCUAACUUCGUGCCAGCAGCCGCGGUAAU
rnacentral:rRNA from 1 species